GCCCGGCUGGCACAAUUGGUCAGCGCGUAAGACUUUUAGGGUUAAAUCAUCACUCCAAAAGAGUAGUUGAUUCCACUCCAAGAGAGAUCUUAAGGUUGGGAGUUCGAGCCUCCCGUCGGGCG